GGACUACCGGGGUUUCUAAUCCCGUUUGCUCCCCUAGCUUUCGCGCCUCAGCGUCAGAAGAGGUCCAGCACGUCGCUUUCGCCACCGGCGUUCCUUCUGAUAUCAACGCAUUUCACCGCUCCACCAGAAGUUCCACAUGCCCCUACCUCCCUCGAGCCCACCAGUAUCGAAGGCACUUCUCCAGUUAAGCUGAAGUAUUUCACCCCCGACUUGAUGAGCCGCCUACGCGCCCUUUAAGCCCAGUGAUUCCGAACAACGUUCGCUCGGUUCGUCUUACCGCGGCUGCUGGCAC
rnacentral:rRNA from 1 species